rnacentral:rRNA from 1 species
CACCAGCGCCACAAGUGGGGGCCGCGAUUAUUGGGCCUAAAGCGUCCGUAGCCGGUUGAGUAAAUCUCUUGUGAAAUCGAUCAGCUUAACUGAUCGGCGUGCAGGGGAGACUGCUCGACUAGGGACCGGGAGGAGUUAGGGGUAUUCCUUGGGGAGCGGUAAAAUGCUAUAAUCCUUGGAAGACCACCUGUGGCGAAGGCGCCUAACCAGAACGGGUCCGACGGUGAGGGACGAAAGCUAGGGGAGCAAUCCG